rnacentral:rRNA from 2 species
GUAACGACUCUCGGCAACGGAUAUCUCGGCUCUCGCAUCGAUGAAGAACGUAGCGAAAUGCGAUACUUGGUGUGAAUUGCAGAAUCCCGUGAACCAUCGAGUCUUUGAACGCAAGUUGCGCCCGAAGCCAUCAGGUUGAGGGCACGUCUGCCUGGGCGUCACG